rnacentral:rRNA from 1 species
UACAGAGGGGGCAAGCGUUAUUCGGAAUUAUUGGGCGUAAAGGGCGCGUAGGCGGCCUGGCAAGUGGAAGGUGAAAUCCCUCGGCUUAACCGAGGAACUGCCCUCCAAACUGCUUGGCUUGAGUCCGGGAGAGGUGAGUGGAAUUCCCAGUGUAGCGGUGAAAUGCGUAGAUAUUGGGAGGAACACCAGUGGCGAAGGCGGCUCACUGGGCAUGUCCUGACGCUGAGGAGCGAAAGUGUGGGGAGCGAACAGG